AGCAGUACAGCCUAACGGAAAGAGCAUCUGCCUGGGAGUCGGAGGACCUGGGUUCUAAUCCCAGCUCUGCUA
rnacentral:tRNA from 1 species